AAUAACUUAUAAGCUGAGACCUGCAGGAUGAACAGGAGUUAGGUGAAGAGGAGAACGAUGUCCAGGCAGGGGCCGGGGAAGCUCGUGCCAAGGCACUGAGGGGAAGUGCUGCAAUGAACCUCAGAGGCUGGAUCUUGCUGACUCAUCUGGGGUACCAAGGACAGACAAAGGACAUGGAGUCCAGGCCCAGGAGGCGAUACCAGGCCAGCAGUUUCACUGAUGCUCCUGUCAUGACGAUGACUGCCUCCCUCCUCCCCUUGGUCCCUGACUCAGUGUCUGCAGUGACCAGGCACCAGGCAGGGAGCAAGGAACCAAGCCUUUCACCUGCUCCCACCAACUCCUAUGGUGCUCCCUUUCCAAGGCUAGGUCUCCUCUCCACCCAGUUCCUUAUCACGUACCAUGAGAAGCUGUCACCUUGGCAACUGUCACCUUCUGGUGAGAUUUACAAUUGCACUGCUACAACUGCUUGUGGCAUGGUAAAGUUGCACCAGGACCUCUGCUGUCCAUGAGAUCAAAGUUCCAGGCCAAGGCACCAGGGGCACGAACAGUGUUGCCCGCAUGGAACUCACACUUAAUGGGAGCGGCAGCCAACAGAAGCUGCAGCCAGAGAAAGAGGGCGACGGUCCCGUCACAUUCUGAGCCCAGCAACGGAGGGCUUUCCAGGCCGGGACUGCGGGCAGAUGGGAAUUCUCCUCUCCUUUCUGCUGGACGUAUCUCCCCUCAGUUUCGCUAUCUGUAAGAUGGGGCAUUGUCCCUGCCAAACCCGCAGGCCAGGACGGCCUAAGAGGAUCAAACGAGGAGAGGCAACGAGGAUUGGUGCCUGGCUUUUCCUGAAAACAGAUUCCUCCCCCGCCCCCGGGACCUGUCCCACAGGGGCGUCUGGAAAUUCCACAGAGCCAGCCAGUCUCAGAGUGAAACAA
ensembl:lncRNA FLJ40194 uncharacterized FLJ40194